rnacentral:tRNA from 1 species
CCUCCUUUCUAAGGAUGAAUAAAAGUAAAAUUUUAUUCUAAAUAAUAUACAGGUUAAUGUUGACCGUCCUCAUUUCUCUUCUUAAAGUAGUGUUUCCAUCUUGUAGGGCCGGAAGCUCAGUUGGUUAGAGCACACCCUUGAUAAGGGUGGGGUCGAAAGUUCGAGUCUUUCUCGGCCCACCAAAUUUAACUGGGGGAUUAGCUCAGCUGGGAGAGCGCCUGAUUUGCAUUCAGGAGGUCAGCGGUUCGAUCCCGCUAUCCUCCACCAGGAAACAUUUAGCUAUUUUUUUUGUGAAUAUUUAAUAAUUUAUAUCAAUAUCUAUAUCCGAACAUUAAUUUGUUUAUUAAUGUUCAAAUAAAAAAUUUGAUUCAACACAGAAUUUUUUCUGUGCAUAAAUCAAGCGUUUAAGGGCGUGUGGCGGAUGCCUG